rnacentral:rRNA from 1 species
UACGUAGGGAGCAAGCGUUGUCCGGAAUCAUUGGGCGUAAAGCGCGCGUAGGCGGCCUCGUAAGUCCGUUGUGAAAGUCAAAGGCUCAACCUUUGAAAGCCGAUGGAUACUGUGAGGCUAGAGUCCGGAAGAGGCGAGUGGAAUUCCUGGUGUAGCGGUGGAAUGCGCAGAUAUCGGAAGGAACACCAGUGGCGAAGGCGGCUUCCUGGACUAAUACUGACGCUGAGGUGCGAAAGCGUGGGGAGCAAACAGG